UCUGGGAAACUGCCUGAUGGAGGGGGAUAACUACUGGAAACGGUAGCUAAUACCGCAUAACAAUGGAUGACACAUGUCAUUUAUUUGAAAGGGGCAAUUGCUCCACUACAAGAUGGACCUGCGUUGUAUUAGCUAGUAGGUGAGGUAAUGGCUCACCUAGGCGACGAUACAUAGCCGACCUGAGAGGGUGAUCGGCCACACUGGGACUGAGACACGGCCCAGACUCCUACGGGAGGCAGCCAUG
rnacentral:rRNA from 1 species